UGUAAGGCCUUUCUACCCUCGAGGGAGUCCACAGCUCCUACUAGUUCAGUAUCAUCGGCAAACUUACUUAAGUUACAUUCAACUCCUGCAUCCAGAGCUUUUUUUAAAGAAUUAAA